GACGAACGCUGGCGGCGUGCCUAAUACAUGCAAGUAGAACGCUGAAGGAGGAGCUUGCUCUUCUGGAUGAGUUGCGAACGGGUGAGUAACGCGUAGGUAACCUGCCUGGUAGCGGGGGAUAACUAUUGGAAACGAUAGCUAAUACCGCAUAACAGUAGAUGUUGCAUGACAUUUACUUAAAAGGUGCAAUUGCAUCACUACCAGAUGGACCUGCGUUGUAUUAGCUAGUUGGUGGGGUAACGGCUCACCAAGGCGACGAUACAUAGCCGACCUGAGAGGGUGAUCGGCCACACUGGGACUGAGACACGGCCCAGACUCCUACGGGAGGCAGCAGUAGGGAAUCUUCGGCAAUGGACGGAAGUCUGACCGAGCAACGCCGCGGGAGUGAAGAAGGUUUUCGGAUCGUAAAGCUCGGUUGUAAGAGAAGAACGAGUGUGAGAGUGGAAAGUUCACACUGUGACGGUAGCUUACCAGAAAGAGACGGCUAACUACGUG
rnacentral:rRNA from 1 species